GGAUCAUCAGGUUAGGCCCAAACAUCAGCCAAGAGGAGUGACCGUUUCUCCUUGCCACAGAAGCAGAGAAUCUGAGAAAUGAAGCUCCAGACAGCAUCUGGAGAACCUCUAAAUGACAGACCGAGAGGAGCUGGGCCUGACAGCUGAGAUACAUAGUCUCAUCUCAGUGUUUCUCAUUGGUUAAUUCUUCAACAAUCCGUUCACUCUUCAUACACCGAGGCGCACUCUGAGAAACCUGGGACGCGUCCUAGAAGGAAAAGACAAAGCUCCUAUCUUUAUGGACAGGCGGAGGACAGACUAUCUGCGGACAGACAAUGAACACAGAUAAAGCUCACAAUGGCUAAUUGCUUCUUCGCUGUAAGGCAACAAGAGCAAUGGAAAGCUGGAGUGAGAAGAACUGCAAGUGUGCAGGACAUGGCUGUCAUUUCAGAGGCUAACCAGGGUGGGCCUCCUUGAGGAGGCACAAGAUGGAGUAUUACAGCUCUGAGCCACAGACUUCAGGAUGAGAGAAUUUCAAAACUUGGGAGCAGAGUUAAUUUCAAAAAGCUUAGCUCAAGAAAAAUCACAAGAAGCAGGCCUACACUACAGCCCGGUUCUCUGAUCCAAGACACCAGUAUAGUGAGACAACUGGACAUCAACAUUUGCACAAAGAAAAAAAUGUCAAACUCUUCACCCCUUUUCUGGGGUCUCCCAAAAAUGUUUUGUUGUUGUUGUUGUGAAAUCUGAUUUAAACAGCCACCUCUACUCCUUAUUAUUUGCCAAAUUCAAACUCCAGCUAGAUGGCUACAAUACUCCACUUUCUACCCCAGCCUUCACCACAAAUUCCACCUCUAUUCAACGUCUAAUCCGUCUCUCCAUUUAAAAGCUUCCAAUUCAAAUCCACCUAAGGCCAUAAGGAUUUCUAAGCUAACCAAGGGCAUCUGUAAGAGACUCAAAUUUAUUCUCUGCUUUAGUAUGUUUUCCCAAUGCAACUGUAUUUUCCAACUGGUCAUGUUAACUAGAAUGUGCUAACCUCUAAGGCUAAAAUGACUUAUUUAUUUCUUACAUUGUUUUCCAACUCUUGACCAUUCUGUUACCUGUAAGAUAGUAUCAACUUCUGAGCAACCCUACAUGACAGCUGUUGCCAUUCAGUGGUGAAUAUGAUGAUCGAAUAUUUGUGGGAAAGAACCACCAAUCAUAGGGGAGAGUGUUUACUUUGUCCUUAGAAGAAAAGUAACAAUGUUUUAAGGGUAAAACAAUUGAAAAGGAAAUGCAGGACAUAGGGAGUAGAUACUUCUCAUAGGAGAGUCAAACGGGGCUCAUGUUAUCACUGAGUGUCCUUGGGGGAGGACCCACUGUUUGACAUCUUUGAGUCAGAGCUCAGAGGUAGGUAGUGAAAUGAUCUAAUUAAGCCCAAAGUAAGCAUGCUGGCUAAAAUGCAAGGGAGGGAUGGUGGUGAUACUCCAUUGGAGUGCAAAGUAAGGUCUGUCCAUUGAGGAACUCCAGUGUCUCCUCGGGUUCAAAUAGCAAAACUCUCAUGCCAAAUUCUCAAACCAUCGCAUCAAACUUGGCUCAGAGGAAUCACCUGGAGAUCUUAAAGCACCUGCUGCCUAGGUCACAUCCCACACUAAAAUUUCAGGGUGUCUGAAGUGAAAGUGGCUUUUAGGGUCACAUAGGUAGUUCCAAUGUGCACCCAGGCUCUGGGAUGGUGUCUCUGGCUAUCACGGUUCAGGCUUAGCUCGCAGGGGAGAGAGCGGGAUGAUUUAUGUUGAGGUUAGCUGAGCAUGAUCUGCAAAAAUCACGUUGACCGGCGAAGCUUAACUUGGGAGACUGGGAAGUGGGAAAUCACUAUAUUGGCUUGGAAAAAAAUAAAUCUCUUCUCAUCUUUAUAAUCUGGUGUUGCCAGAUCUUUCAAAGGCCUUCAAGUGAACUCAUGGCUUGGAGACUUGCAUGGGGCAAGGAAACUAUGUGUGAUGGUAGCUAUGGGCCCUGCAAACAAGAACAUCCGGAUUGUCACUCCUGAAGUAAGAAAGCAGUCACCAGCCUCUCGCUGGCUGACAGUCCACAGCCAACUGUGCCUCCACAGAACCUGCCUCUCAGUAAUGGUUCUGGGGGCUGGUCUGUAAACCCGGACCACACAGCAACUUCUUAGAUUCUGUCCAGGCUGAGGAGGGGCUACUAGUCACCAUCUGUCUGAAACUGUCCAAGCGGUUAACUGUUCUAUCAUACAGUGGCAGCAGGCCGAUGCACCGUUACUGGCCAUCUUCAGUGUGGACUUUAUCCUGACCUUAGCACACAGCAACCUGGGUUCGAAAUCAUACUGUAAAAACCUGAAGUGUGAUGGGGGUGGGAAAAAUUUUUUCGUUCUCUCAUUUAAUGAUCAGGAGGCCCCACCAACCACGACAGACAGUUCUGCCAAUUUGGGGAUGGACGCACAGGCCAACAGGCAAAGGGAAUGUGGACACUUGGCUAUGCCUACAAGGUGAUGAAUAAUACCGCCAGAACCAAAGGCAACUCAACCCCUUUAUUGUCUAGGGGGCACCCAGGAGGAACUGGAUUGUGUUCAAGAUCACACUGUCCCUGGCAGGAGUCUGGCUGAGAAUUAGAACGCUCCCUCUUCCACAUGGCCCCAGUCCUUGGGUGAGGUCACACUCAGUGACACAAGACUAUCCCAAGAUGCAGUCC
ensembl:lncRNA